UUUUCACUGGAUUUAAUAGAAAUGUGAAAUUGACCUGGCAAGCCUGUCUCUGCCUGAGCAUGAUCACAACAAAAGUAGCUGUGCAGCACGUUUUUUUAGGAAGAGGAGGAUGGUUGCAGACGUUCGCAUUCAUGCAAGAAGGCACUGCAGAGGCUAAGAAGACGCAUGGAAACUCUAAAAGAAACAUAAUUCAACUUGUAGGCCAGAUUUGAAAAAGAAAUAAUAAAACCAGAAGCUCAGAUGUCAGACACCGAGGCUGCCAGUACCUCUGGAUCGAUUGUCUAUGUGUUGGAUGAUGCACAACCGUUGGUCAGAACAGACAGUGUAUACUUGACCAAAGCUAUGCUUGGAUACAAGAUGACUCAAUGAUGACUCAAUAACUAUUAUUGACAACAGUGAAGAUGUUAUGUCCCAGGGCCAUCAGGAUCAUCAGAGGAAGGCAAUUUCUAUGAAGAAAAUCUGACCGGUAUGCCUAUACUUUACAUACACAUGGACCUAUUCUUAUCUGUCAGUGCAUUUUCACUCUGUAGUCAAAUAAAAUGUUAUUGGUCACAUGCACAUGGUUAGCAGAUGUUUAUACGAGU